rnacentral:piRNA from 2 species
UGGGAAGUGUAGUUCCACGCGUUUGAGGC